rnacentral:rRNA from 1 species
CCUACGGGGUGCUGCAGUGGGGAAUAUUGGACAAUGGGCGAAAGCCUGAUCCAGCCAUGCCGCGUGUGUGAAGAAGGCCUUCGGGUUGUAAAGCACUUUCAGUGGGGAAGAAAGCCUUGGGGCUAAUACCCUCGAGGAAGGACAUCACCCACAGAAGAAGCACCGGCUAACUCCGUGCCAGCAGCCGCGGUAAUACGGAGGGUGCGAGCGUUAAUCGGAAUUACUGGGCGUAAAGCGCGCGUAGGCGGUCUGAUAAGCCGGUUGUGAAAGCCCCGGGCUCAACCUGGGAACGGCAUCCGGAACUGUCAGGCUAGAGUGCAGGAGAGGAAGGUAGAAUUCCCGGUGUUGCGGUGAAAUGCGUAGAGAUCGGGAGGAAUACCAGUGGCGAAGGCGGCCUUCUGGACUGACACUGACGCUGAGGUGCGAAAGCGUGGGUAGCAAACAGGAUUAGAUACCCCUGUAGUC